CAAAAAUAAAUUUAGGAUAAGCAAGCGUUUUAUUUCAUCCCAUGUUAAUAAUCUUUCGACCUUCUGAGGUGUAAAAGAUAUAAAAAAAAAUAUAGCUUUUAGGUUUCUUCUAUACAGUUCACCUACCAUAUGUUCACGAUAUUUGAUAACUAAAAUUUAUUUGCUAUUUAAUUCAGAUAAGAACCGAAUGCUUAUUGUUUUAUUUCAUUGCCCGUACAAAUAGGGUUUUGCUCAUAAAAAAAUCGAUAAAAUCGCCUAAUAAAGAUUAACAUUACGCAAGGGAAAACUAAAAAAAAUUGAAUGCAUUUUUAACUGAUCUCAUUUAAUGCGCUUUCAAAGUUAGAUAACACACAACAAAGAGAUAUAUUGCAAAUAAUAAAGAGGUAAGAAGAAAAGGGUUGGUUGGUUGUAUAUUAAAACCGUUUUGGAUCUACAUAACCCAAAAGAAUUCUAAAAUGUUUGGCGAAUAACUUAUGUUGAUGCAACAACAACGCUACGAUUAUCUAAACUACCUUUAGUUUGCUUAAAAUAUAUCAAUGCCUCGUUGGUUUUAUAUCUGAAGUAUGAAGAGAACAUCUCUUUUUAAUCUGUAUGUAUGUACCUAUAUAAAUAAACCUUUUGUAUAAGUACGAUUCGCGAUUUCAAUUGCCUCCUGCCGGACUUUGCUGCGUAGUUAGAAAGUAUGCGCUCGAACCAUUUCAGAUGCAUGACUUCAAAUUUUAAAUUAAUUCUGGAUCAUUUAUCAAUAAAACCUUAAUUGAAAGCGACAUGUAUUUAAUUUUGUUGUAGUAGUCAAAGUACAUAAUGAUUGGUUAUUUUUGUUCAAUUAAAGCCAUCAUAUUUUACCAACACAUUGCCAAUAUAAAUUUUGCUUCAUAUGUUCCCUAAAAUACAUACACAUGUAAAUCUAUUUAGAUCGCAAUAUUAUCAGCAAAACUAAAUUCAUCUUCAAUAAAUCUGAUUUAUUUUCAACGACAGUGACUGGUUCCCUAACCGCCAAUAUCAUCAAGCGGUCAUCACUGUAGUUACACACUUAGAGUGUGCAGAUCCAAAGCACAAUUGAUAAAAUUCUCUUUCUGGAAAGACUUCGUGAAACUAGUAUGCUAGCUCGGCUUGAAAGGCUGUAUGGCAUUGCUUAAAAUAUAUGUCCAUAUAUGCAUAACUGUUGUUUAAAAUUGUAUAAAACCAAGUCUUCGGUUGCGACGAGUAGUCAUUCGAGGGUCAGAUCGCAAUGUGGAUGCAGUGAUGUGUAUCAUUCGAAAUUAGAAAAUACUAUUUUUGCCACAAGUCUAAUUCAGCCGGUGCGCGUUCCGGGCUUAAUUGAAUGAAAUUGACGAAGCCAAGCAAUCUGCGCUGGCCGGUCUUCAAUUGAUUGCUUGAGUAAUAAUAAUUUUUUGUGUGCGUUUUCAAUGUGGACUUGAAUGUGGACAGUUUAAGAACUUCAGACCCAUGUGAUGAAAGCGUUUUUAUUGUAAAUAAUGCUGAAAAUACUUACACAUACAGCCUACGAACUGCAAACAAUUUAGCCUCCAUAAAAACCAAAACAUGAUUCAUUAUGUGGUAUAAAUGCGGCGAAAUAAAUAGCGAUUGCAAGAAAUCAAAAACGAAUACAAUGCAAAGUGAAAUAACUUCAACAUAGAAAUAAAAAUCACGCCACUUUCAAAUUGACGUAUUGUACAUUUAAACAUGCCUACAAACCUACAUUGUACAUUAAUAUUUGGAUAUUAUUUCAUCGCCAAAUUUCAAAGAAUUUAAUUAGCGCAUUAGUGGAUUUUCGUUAAAUAUGGUUUAAAAUGGUGCUAAGGUCGAAAUUGUUAUAUACUUAUAUGUACAUAUAU